UAUUGCUGUGAUCUGUAUCGUCCUCAUCGCCGGCGUUACUGGUCAAGCUCCGACUUCACCACCAACCGCUACACCAGCUCCACCAACUCCAACAACUCCUCCACCAGCAGCAACUCCUCCUCCUGUCUCAGCACCACCACCAGUCACAACAUCUCCUCCUCCAGUCACCACUGCUCCUCCUCCAGCAAAUCCACCACCACCAGUCUCUUCUCCUCCUCCUGCUUCUCCUCCACCAGCUACUCCUCCUCCAGUCGCUUCUCCUCCUCCUCCCGUUGCUUCUCCUCCACCAGCAACUCCUCCUCCCGUCGCUACUCCUCCCCCAGCUCCUCUAGCUUCCCCUCCUGCUCAAGUUCCAGCUCCAGCACCGACCACGAAGCCAGAUUCUCCAUCUCCAUCUCCGUCAUCUAGCCCACCUCUUCCAUCAAGCGACGCUCCUGGACCUAGCACCGAUUCUAUCU
rnacentral:lncRNA from 1 species